CCUACGGGGGGCAGCAGUGGGGAAUAUUGCACAAUGGGGGAAACCCUGAUGCAGCGACGCCGCGUGAGUGAAGAAGUAUUUCGGUAUGUAAAGCUCUAUCAGCAGGGAAGAAAAUGACGGUACCUGAUUAAGAAGCACCGGCUAACUACGUGCCAGCAGCCGCGGGAAUACGUAGGGGGCAAGCGUUAUCCGGAUUUACUGGGUGUAAAGGGAGCGUAGACGGCAGCACAAGUCUGGAGUGAAAUGCCGGGGCUUAACCCCGGAACUGCUUUGGAAACUGUGCAGCUAGAGUGCAGGAGAGGUAAGUGGAAUUCCUAGUGUAGCGGUGAAAUGCGUAGAUAUUAGGAGGAACACCAGUGGCGAAGGCGGCUUACUGGACUGUAACUGACGUUGAGGCUCGAAAGCGUGGGGAGCAAACAGGAUUAGAUACCCCAGUAGUC
rnacentral:rRNA from 1 species